rnacentral:rRNA from 1 species
UGGGGAAUUUUGUGCAAUGGGGGAAACCCUGACACAGCGACACCGCGUGAGCGAAGAAGCCCCUUGGGGUGUAAAGCUCUGUCGGCUGGAACGAAAAAAAUGACGGUACCAGCAGAGGAAGCAUCGGCUAACUACGUGCCAGCAGCCGCGGUAAGACGUAGGAUGCAAGCGUUGUCCGGAUUUAUUGGGCGUAAAGAGUUCGUAGGUGGUUUGUUAAGUCUGAUGUUAAAGACUGAGGCUCAACCUCGGAAAUGCAUUGGAUACUGGCAGACUGGAGUACAGUAGAGGCGAGUGGAAUUCCCAGUGUAGCGGUGAAAUGCGUAGAUAUUGGGAAGAACACCAGUGGCGUAAGCGACUCGCUGGGCUGUUACUGACACUGAGGAACGAAAGCCAGGGGAGCGAAUGGGAUUAGAUACCCCCGUAGUCC